rnacentral:rRNA from 1 species
AGUGAACGCUGGCGGUAGGCCUAACACAUGCAAGUCGAACGGCAGCACAGUAAGAGCUUGCUCUUACGGGUGGCGAGUGGCGGACGGGUGAGGAAUACAUCGGAAUCUACUUUUUCGUGGGGGAUAACGUAGGGAAACUUACGCUAAUACCGCAUACGACCUACGGGUGAAAGCAGGGGAUCUUCGGACCUUGCGCGAUUGAAUGAGCCGAUGUCGGAUUAGCUAGUUGGCGGGGUAAAGGCCCACCAAGGCGACGAUCCGUAGCUGGUCUGAGAGGAUGAUCAGCCACACUGGAACUGAGACACGGUCCAGACUCCUACGGGAGGCAGCAGUGGGGAAUAUUGGACAAUGGGCGCAAGCCUGAUCCAGCCAUACCGCGUGGGUGAAGAAGGCCUUCGGGUUGUAAAGCCCUUUUGUUGGGAAAGAAAAGCAGCAGGUUAAUACCCCGCUGUUCUGACGGUACCCAAAGAAUAAGCACCGGCUAACUUCGG